rnacentral:rRNA from 1 species
AUGAGAAAAGAGUUUGGAGGUUUUGGUAUUACUGACAUAGGGGAUAUGAACUUGGCCCUAUUAGCUUCUUGGAUUAGCAGAUACUACAACGCUGAGGGCAAAAUUUGGAAGAAUAUCAUUGAAUCCAAAUACAACCCUCAGAAUAGUAAUAUUUUUGCCUGUUCUGCUACUGGAGCAUCCCCUUUCUGGAAAGGGGUGAUCUGGGCAGCACAAGCUGCCAAACUUGGUUUCUCUUGGAAGGUUGGGAAUGGCAAAAGAACUCGGUUCUGGGAGGACCGCUGGUUCGGCAAUGCUACUCUAGCUACCCAAUAUUGGGAGUUGUACAACUUAGCUAAUGAGCAUAAUGUCACCAUUGAUAAAAUUUGGGAUGGCCAUAAUCUGAAGCUGACUUUUAGAAGAUGCUUUACUCAAGAGCAGAUAGCUGUUUGGUAUGAACUUGUGAAAAUAGCUAGUGCCAUUAGUUUAGUAGAUGAGGAGGACUCCCCCGUGUGGAAUCUGAAUUCUAAGGGGGUUUAUACAGUCAAAUCCUUUUAUAAGUUCAUUAAUUUCAGAGGGGUCUUACCUACUAUCUCUCCUGCUAUUUGGAAUCUUAAAAUUCCCCCAAGGAUUCAGAUUUUUCUCUGGAUGUUAGUUAAUAAUAAACUCCUAACCAGAGAUAAUUUAAGCAAAAGACAAGAGGUGAGUGACCCCACUUGCGUGUUUUGCUCUGAACAAGAAUCCUGUUCCCAUCUAUUUAGCGCUUGUGUUGUUGCUGCUGAGUUCUGGAAAGCCAUAUGUGCCAUUACUGGAGUGAGUGAAGACAUACAUAUGAUGUCUAUCUCCUCGUUCUGGCUCAGGGGAGAUAAGUUCGUUGCUGUUAACACGGUCCAUGCAACUGGGCUGUGGGCGAUCUGGAAACUCGCAACGAUAUGA